rnacentral:rRNA from 1 species
CCUACGGGUGGCAGCAGUGGGGAAUAUUGGACAAUGGGCGAAAGCCUGAUCCAGCCAUGCCGCGUGUGUGAAGAAGGCCUUCGGGUUGUAAAGCACUUUCAGUGGGGAAGAAAGCCUUGGGGCUAAUACCCUCGAGGAAGGACAUCACCCACAGAAGAAGCAUCGGCUAACUCCGUGCCAGCAGCCGCGGUAAUACGGAGGGUGCGAGCGUUAAUCGGAAUUACUGGGCGUAAAGCGCGCGUAGGCGGUCUGAUAAGCCGGUUGUGAAAGCCCCGGGCUCAACCUGGGAACGGCAUCCGGAACUGUCAGGCUAGAGUGCAGGAGAGGAAGGUAGAAUUCCCGGUGUAGCGGUGAAAUGCGUAGAGAUCGGGAGGAAUACCAGUGGCGAAGGCGGCCUUCUGGACUGACACUGACGCUGAGGUGCGAAAGCGUGGGUAGCAAACAGGAUUAGAUACCCUAGUAGUC